rnacentral:rRNA from 1 species
UACAGAGGGUGCGAGCGUUAAUCGGAAUUACUGGGCGUAAAGCGCGUGUAGGCGGCAGGGCAUGUCGGAUGUGAAAUCCCGUGGCUCAACCACGGAAGUGCACCCGAAACUGCCCAGCUUGAGUCUCGGAGAGGAAGGCGGAAUGCUUGGUGUAGAGGUGAAAUUCGUAGAUAUCAAGCGGAACACCGGUGGCGAAGGCGGCCUUCUGGACGAUGACUGACGCUGAGACGCGAAAGCGUGGGGAGCAAACAGG